rnacentral:ncRNA from 1 species
CAGAGAUAAAAACACGGUCCGGUUGGUAGUCCGGGCGUUCCUACGGAAUCAGUAACCUGCCUCCUUGGUUGUCCCUUCUUUGCGUA